AUACGGAGGGUGCAAGCGUUAAUCGGAAUUACUGGGCGUAAAGCGCUCGUAGGCGGUUUGUUAAGUCAGAUGUGAAAGCCCCGGGCUCAACCUGGGAACUGCAUUUGAAACUGGCAAGCUAGAGUAUGGUAGAGGGGGGUAGAAUUUCUAGUGUAGCGGUGAAAUGCGUAGAUAUUAGAAGGAAUACCAGUGGCGAAGGCGGCCCCCUGGACCAAUACUGACACUGAGGUACGAAAGCGUGGGUAGCGAACAGGAUUAGAAACCCUAGUAGUCC
rnacentral:rRNA from 1 species